rnacentral:rRNA from 1 species
GACGAACGCUGGCGGCGUGCCUAAUACAUGCAAGUCGAGCGGACUUGAUGAGAAGCUUGCUUCUCUGAGAGUUAGCGGCGGACGGGUGAGUAACACGUAGGCAACCUGCCUGUAAGGCUGGGAUAACUACCGGAAACGGUAGCUAAUACCGGAUAGGUGAUUUUCUCGCAUGAGGAAGUCAAGAAAGACGGAGCAAUCUGUCACUUACGGAUGGGCCUGCGGCGCAUUAGCUAGUUGGUGAGGUAAUGGCUCACCAGGGCGACGAUGCGUAGCCGACCUGAGAGGGUGAACGGCCACACUGGGACUGAGACACGGCCCAGACUUCUACGGGAGGCAGCAGUAGGGAAUCUUCCGCAAUGGACGAAAGUCUGACGGAGCAACGCCGCGUGAGUGAUGAAGGUUUUCGGAUCGUAAAGCUCUGUUGCCAGGGAAGAACGUCUUAGAGAGUAACUGCUCUAAGAGUGACGGUACCUGAGAAGAAAGCCCCGGCUAACUACGUGCCAGCCGCCGCCGUAA